rnacentral:rRNA from 1 species
UACGUAGGGUGCAAGCGUUAAUCGGAAUUACUGGGCGUAAAGCGUGCGUAGGCGGUUUCUUAAGUCUGCUGUGAAAGCCCUGGGCUCAACCUGGGAAUGGCGGUGGAUACUGAGAAGCCGGAGUACGGUAGAGGAAGGUGGAAUUCCCGGUGUAGCGGUGAAAUGCGUAGAGAUCGGGAGGAACAUCAGUGGCGAAGGCGGCCUUCUGGACCAGUACUGACGCUGAGGCACGAAAGCGUGGGGAGCAAACAGG